AUAUUUGACUCACACGUUUGAAUUUUGAAGCUAAUUUAGAAUGUUCAAAGAUUUAUUUUUGCGGACUUUGGUUUAAAAUCAUGUUACGGAAUGUUGUGUCUUCAUUCGAUGUUUUGAAAGAUGUGGAAUAUGAUAUCUAAUGUCAUAGAUGAUUAUGACUCAGGAUUUUGAAACCUGAAUAAUUAGUCUUAUGAUAUUUGUUCAUUUUAGAUACAAAUCAUAUUUAGUACUAAUACAUUUAUUGAACUCUUCAUAAAUUAGUGCCUUAUUUUCUUCAGACAAGUGCCCUUUUGGCAUCUAGCGCCUCGGGCAGUAUAAGGGGAAUUGUCACCUUAAGAACGCCCUUUGGUUUUGACGACCUUGUAAAAGGAUGAUGAUUUUAUAAUAUCUUAGGCACGAUACAGCUCCACUUGGCUGAAGUGUAAAUUUGAAUAUGAGGUUCAGUAAGUCCAUAGGGGAGUUAUAAAUUUGAUCAAAUCUGGGUCAUGCAUAAAUCUGAAAACAGAUCUCGAUUUGACCACUCCUUAAAGUUAAAACUCUAAACUUUGUUUCAUCUAACCUUAUAUUAAAACAAACCCU
rnacentral:lncRNA from 1 species